rnacentral:rRNA from 1 species
AACGAACGCUGGCGGCAGGCUUAACACAUGCAAGUCGAACGGAUCCUUCGGGAUUAGUGGCAGACGGGUGAGUAACGCGUGGGAACGUACCCUUUGCUACGGAAUAACUCAGGGAAACUUGAGCUAAUACCGCAUGUGCCCUACGGGGGAAAGAUUUAUCGGCAAAGGAUCGGCCCGCGUUGGAUUAGCUAGUUGGUGGGGUAAUGGCCUACCAAGGCGACGAUCCAUAGCUGGUCUGAGAGGAUGAUCAGCCACACUGGGACUGAGACACGGCCCAGACUCCUACGGGAGGCAGCAGUGGGGAAUAUUGGACAAUGGGCGCAGGCCUGAUCCAGCCAUGCCGCGUGAGUGAUGAAGGUCUUAGGAUUGUAAAGCUCUUUCACCGGUGAAGAUAAUGACGGUAGCCGGAGAAGAAGCCCCGGCUAACUUCGUG